rnacentral:rRNA from 1 species
CCUACGGGUGGCAGCAGUGAGGAAUAUUGGUCAAUGGCCGUAAGCCUGAACCAGCCAAGCCGCGUGAACGCAGCAGGACCUAUGGUUUGUAAACUUCUUUUAUAGGGGCAUAAAGUUAUCCUCGUGUGGAUAUUUGCAUGUACCCUAUGAAUACGCAUCGGCUAACUCCGUGCCAGCAGCCGCGGUAAUACGGAGGGUGCAAGCGUUAUCCGGAUUUAUUGGGUUUAAAGGGUGCGUAGGUUGUUUUUUAAGUCAGCGGGGAAAGUUUGUGGCUCAACCAUAAAAUUGCCGUUGAGACUGGAAGGCUUGAGUGUGGUUGAGGUAGGCGGAAUGCGUGGUGUAGCGGUGAAAUGCAUAGAUAUCACGCAGAACACCGAUUGCGAAGGCAGCUUACUAAGCCAUAACUGACACUGAAGAACGAAAGCGUGGGGAUCAAACAGGAUUAGAUACCCCGGUAGUC